rnacentral:rRNA from 1 species
UACGUAGGGUGCAAGCGUUGUCCGGAAUUAUUGGGCGUAAAGAGCUCGUAGGCGGUUUGUUGCGUCGGCUGUGAAAUCCCGAGGCUCAACCUCGGGUCUGCAGUCGAUACGAGCAAACUAGAGUGUUGCAGGGGGAGACUGGAAUUCCUGGUGUAGCGGUGAAAUGCGCAGAUAUCAGGAGGAACACCGGUGGCGAAGGCGGGGUCUCUGGGCAACAACUGACGCUGGAGGAGCGAAAGCGUGGGGGAGCGAAACAGGA